rnacentral:rRNA from 1 species
CUCUAAAGAGACUGCCGGUGGUCAAACCGGAGGAAGGUGGGGAGUGACGUCAAGUCCUCAUGGCCUUAUGACCAGGGCUACACACGUACUACAAUGGCAGGUACAAAGGGCAGCCACUUAGCGAUAAGGCGCGAAUCCCAUAAAACCUGUCUCAGUCCGGAUUGGAGUCUGCAACUCGACUCCAUGAAGUUGGAAUCGCUAGUAAUCGCAGAUCAGCACGCUGCGGUGAAUACGUUCCCGGGCCUU